AUAUUUACUGAAACACUCAGAUCAGAGAGCACUGAACUACAGUGUUUAUCUCAGAAUGGAAAAUACAAUGAUCUGGAGUUUAUUAUUUGUCGUUACUAUUCAGGGAGUUUGGAGUGAGAUCAAACUGGACCAGACUCCCUCUGAGGUGAAAAUACCUGGAGAGACAGUGAAGAUGUCAUGUAUCAUAUCUGGUUAUAGCAUGACAAGCGGCUAUUUUGACUGGAUUCGACAGAGGCCAGGGAAAGCUCUGGAGUGGAUCGGUGACAUGAAUUCAGGUUCAAACUCUCCUACCUAUUCCAGCUCCUUUCAAAGUCGUUUCAUCAUGACUGAAGAUGUGUCCAGCAGCACUCAGUACCUCGAGGUCAACAGCCUGACAGCAGAAGAUUCUGCUGUUUACUUCUGUGCUCGAAGAGACACAGUGACUGAAGACAGUGGAGCAGCUGCACAAAAACCUCCACAGACAACAAACAGCAGUUUCAGUUCCUGAGCAGCUGUUUUCCUCUUGAGGCUUCAACUUUCUCUGUAUGUCUUCAAACAUCUGCAAACACUGAAACAAUUAAAACUCCUUUAUGCA